UUGUAACUUAGAUGAGGGUGGUGUUCUAGUUUGCCUUUCUUUUAAUCACAAAGCUGGUUGUUUAUGGGCUAUUAAAACUUUAAUUCAUCAUAAAUGUUCUAUGAACAGAUAAUAGGGGUGACAGACUCGUUUCUCCUUGAACAGGUAUUUCAGCAAAAUUCUGCUCUUCAUUUCAGAGCUGCUGAUCAUGGUGUUUCAGAGAUGACGGCCUUGUCACCGGUUUUUACCUUUUGAAGAAGAUGGAGAAUGAUCCUUUUGAUGAGCAAUUAAGGGCUUUUAUUUUAAUGUCUUUCCAUGCAAAUUUGUUCAGAGUCUGCAGGGCCACGGAAUAUGCUCUCAUAUGAAGCCAGAAGUCAAAGGGGAUGCCUAUAGAAUUGGUAUUUAUUCAAUCGGUGUCUUUUGAAAAGGGGGGAAGGGAUAAUUGUCUCAAGCCCCACACAUGUAGGACCCCUCCCCCUAUAUAUUUCAGGAUUUGCAGGGAUUGGAAGGAACAAGGUUUUUAUUCCAAGCAAACUCACUGAAGCAGCAGGCAAGAGUUAUUCUUACUAUUUCUAAUAUUCUCUGCACACAUUGGAUUAUUGGCCUGUUAACGUCAAUGGAUAAACUAUAAUGAAGGAGACAUAUGAGAAGAAACUACGGAGGGAGAUGUGACUGUCCAUGGCUGUCUUGAAGUCUUAAUAUUUAGUCCCUUUUGGGCAGAGUACAUCGUAUGUUGGAACCCAUGAGUGCACUGCCAGGAUGACUCUUGUUAUACCAUAGUGUAGGAUUUGACAUCUAUUGCCUCUUGCAGCAUACAAGGUUUCUAAUGAAGGUGUGAUGUUAAAAUAAGAAGAAGCCAAAUUUAAAGGACUUCAGGUAUUCUUCCAAGGAAGAAAGAAUACCAUGAUUAAAAUGGAGGCCUCUGGAUAGGAGGCUUGAAGAAAGGGUGAUAUGAAAGAGCUGGAGAAUGAGGCCAAUCAUGAGCUGGUAUUCCUUAGUGAAGGAGAUAUACCAUAUUUUUCGGAGUAUGAGACACACUUCCUCCCCUAAAAGAGGCUAAAAAUUUGGGGGCGUCUUAUACUCCGAAUGUAGCCCCGCCCACCUGCUAGCUUCCACCCUUCGGCCUCUGUGCGUCCUCUUCCUGCCUGCAGUGAUUGCUACUGACAGCAGCUUGUGUUUUUGGGCUCUGUGUGUCAUGUUUUCAGCCACCAAAUGGUCCGUUUGAGAGUCCUUCAAGGCUGCGGAGAUCACCAAAACACAUUGCCGCCGAUCACCGCCUGAAAAUGCAACUCAUUUGGAGGCUUCAAAUGUGAUGUGCGGUGCCCAAAAUGGCUACCCAGAAAGGCUGCUGCCUUCUCAUACCCCUUCCAAAUUUCACUGGAGCUCCCUCCGACAAUCAGUUGUACUUUCAAAGCUUUUUUUUUAGUUCUAAUGAGGCACUAGCAAGUGAAGUGAUCUUCCGCACUUCGCCUGUUUUUCUCAUUGCUUCUCUCUCUGACGAUCAGCUGUGGUUUUGAAGCUUUUUUUCAGCCCUAACGAGGCAACAGUGAUUGAAGCAAUCUUCUGCACUCCGCCUGCUUUUCUCAUUGCUUCUCUCUCCGAUGAUCAGCUGUGCUUUAGAAGCUGCUUUUUAUCCCCAAUCUGGCAUACGCGAGCAUAGCUAGUGGGUGUACAAGCAUGUGCUCAAAACCAGCGAACUAAUGUGGUGAUACUGACCAGACUAAGGACGCUAGCCAGAUGAAUACCUGGUAGGCAGAAUUUUCUUUUUCCUAUUUCCUCCCCCAAAACUAAGGUGCAUCUUAUACUCUGAAAAAUACGGUAACUUCAGAGCAAAGAGGAGGACCUGUGAAUUGUACAUGGCCAAUCGGGUGGGUUGGGUUUUUUUUCCUCCUAGGGUAGACCUUCCUACCUAAGACAGAAGACCCAUGGUUAGAAAAAAAAUUGACAGUAAAGGAGAAUAUUUGUAGCUCAGGUUUGAAAUAAGAUGUCCCUGGUACUCUCUGAUUUUGGUUGUUUUCUUGCAGAUGUUUCAUUACCCAAACUAGGUAACAUCAUCAGUGCCAGUUCUGAUGAUGCACUGAUGAUGUUACCUAGUUUGGGUAAUGAAACAUCUGCAAGAAACUCAGAAACCAAACUCAGAGAGCCCCAAGGACCCCUCCAUUUUGACAGUGGUUCUAAGUUCACAGUACAAAGACAAAGAUGGAUCAUUUGUUUUGAACAAUCAUGAUAUGGAAUUGAUGAACUCGCACAGAACUUUUGCUAUUAUGUUAGUAGCAGAACCAGUAAAUAAUGAACCAGACAAUGAGACAGGAUGCCAUUAAAGAGCCAAAAGGAUUUCCACUGGAUACUUUUUUUUAAGGAGGAGAUAUGAUGGAUUCACGAAGUACUGCUAAAGCCCCAAGCACGAAUAACGCUCAUCUGGUUGAAAGCAAUUUGGUGGGAUUUCCUCUUGAGCAGGAGCUUCUGUCUUGAGGUGGAAAUAAGAUAGAAUAGAAUAACAGAGUUGGAAGGGACCUUGGAGGUCUUCUAGUCCAAUCUAAUCCCUGCUUAGGCAGGAAACCCUACACCACUUCAGACAAAUGGUUAUCCAACAUCUUAAAAACUUCCAGUGUUGGAGCAUUCACAACUCCUGGAGGCAAGUUGUUCUACUGAUUAAUUGUUCUAACUGUCAGGAAAUUUCUCCUUAGUUCUAAGUUGCUUCUUUCCUUGAUUAGUUUCCACCCAUUGCUUCUUGUCCUGCCCUCAGGUGCUUUGCAGAAUAGCUUGACUCCCUCUUCUUUGUGGAAACCCCUGAGAUAUUGGAAGACUGCUAUCGUGUCUCCCCUAGUCCUUCUUUUCAUCAAACUAGACAUACCCAGUUCCUGCUUUCCAAGAUGCUUCCCAAAACUGUUUUACAGAGUUAUGACCAACGCUAAUCAAUGCUUGGCCUGAAUCUCACCAAAAGAGACUUUUCUGGGGGUUCAGGUCUGAUUGAGCCUUAGGAGUAUAUCUCAUGACUUACCAGUUGAAACUGUGCCACAGGAAAUCUAUUUUUGUGUACUGUUACUAAGGGCCUUAAUGCUUCUUUCAUCCUGUUUUUGUUUGUUUUUAGUCAUAAAAGGAGAUCAAAUGAGGGUGCUGGAAGUACCUCCUCUCCUUUAUACCUGUAUCAACUUGCUUUAUGGUAGUACAACUCUCUCUUGGCAUGGUAGCAGUUGAGUGGAGUUUACCAGGGAUGGUGGCAGUUCCCAGCUAUUUGGAAAAAUGAAAACAGUUCAAAUCUUUCCCCAAUAUAUUGCAAAAACAAACAAACAAACAAAAAAACAAACAAACCCAAAAACAAAAUCCACCUACCCACUCAUGGGACCUCACUGGGUGAUUUGGACUCCUGUGGAUCUUCUGUCCCAACCUCUCUUCCAGCAUUAAUUUUAUGUAGAUAAAAUUAGAGGAAGGAGCAUUAUAAUAACCUCUUAAACCUGUGAAGCGGUGGGACAGAGAUGCAUCUAAUGAACGUAUAAAUUAUGCCAGAAAUUGAUAAAAGGGAAGCCAAGCUGAUUCAGCGUAAUAAUGAGCAUCCAGUGAUAAGGAUAUACUCUGAAUCAAAUUAUGAUCUGGAUAUUUUUUUUUAAGAACUAGAACUAGAAUAGAAUAGAAUAGAAUAGAAUAGAAUUUUUUUAUUGGCCAGGUGUGAUUGGACACACAAGGAAUUUGUCUUGGUGCAUAAGCUCUCAGCGUACAUAAAAGAAAGGAUAUCUUCAUCAAGGUACAACACUUACAACACUUAAUGAUAGUCAUAGGGUACAAAUUUAACACUUUAUGAUACAAGACUUAAUGAUACUCAUAGGCUACAAAUAAGCAAACAGGAAACAAUCAAUAUCAAUAUAAAUCGUAAGGAUACAAACAACAAAGUUACAGUCAUGCAGUCAUAAGUGGAAGGAGAUGGGUGAUGGGAACGAUGAGAAGAUUAAUAGUAGUGCAGACUUAGUAAUGAAAGUGUUGGAAUUAUUUGUUUAGAAGGGUGAUGGCAUUCGGGAAGAAACUAUUCUUAUGUCUAGUUGUUCUGGUGUGCAGUGCUCUGUUGUGUCGUUUUGAGGGUAGGAGUUGAAACAGUUUAUGUCCAGGAUGUGAGGGGCCUGUAAAUAUUUUCACAGCCCUCUUUUUGACUCGUGCAGUAUACAGUUCCUCAAUAGAAGGCAGGUUGGUAGCCAUUGUUUUUUCUGCAGUUCUAAUUGUCCUCUGAAGUCUGGGUCUGUCUUGCUGGGUUGCAGAACCAAACCAGACAGUUAUAGAGGUGCAAAUGACAGACUCAAUAAUUCCUCUAUAGAACUGGAUCAGCAGCUCCUUGGGCAGUUUGAGCUUUCUGAGUUGGCGCAGAAAGAACAUUCUUUGUUGUGCUUUUUUGAUGACAUUUUUGAUGUUAGCUGUCCAAUUUAGAUCUUGUGAUAUGGUAGGACCUAGAAAUUUGAAGGUUUCUACUGUUGAUACUGUGUUGUCUUGUAUUUUAAGGAACUAUCAGAAUGAAGUAGACAAAAGGGCUUUUCCUCCCUAGAGUAGGUGUAGGUUGGCUUAUAAAAUAUCUUACAACAGCUUGUAAAAAUAAUAAUAAUAAUAAUAACAACAACAACAACAACAACAAUAAUAAUAAUAAUAAUAAUAAUAAACCAGGUCUCACAUCUUUCCAGCUGCAUGCUUCUAAAGGGACAGGAUGAGGAUGUCACUUCUCUGACCAUUGCCUCUAUGGAUUUGCUAGUGGAGAGCAGGUGCUCCUGAACCAGACCAAAAGUGAAAUAUACUGUUGACCGAACAAUGCUGUAGUCCAGGGGUCUCCAACCUUGGCAACUUUAAGACUUGCGGACUUCAACUCUGGGACUUGAAGUCCGCAAGUCUUAAAGUUGCCAAGGUUAGAGACCCCUGCUUUAGUCAAUGUACUAAUAAGGAACACAUCCACGCAUUUUGUUACUGUUAAAUAGUGCUUGAAUAUAAACAGUGUUCAGCCAGUGUUGAUGGGACUAAGUCUGGGUGAGUCACUCUAUAUUUUCAGUGGCACCCUGCCCAUCGCUAGUUUGUGAAGAGUUAUGGGGUAGGAAAAAAAAAUCAGGCAGUGUAGGAACAUUGCCAGAUGUGUGACAAUUCUUAAAUUUUUUUUACUCACUGGCAGCAAAGUGUAGUCUGUGAAGGUAGGAUCAAGCAACGAAGACCUCAUCUACUCUAGGGGGUAGAAAGACCCUUGAUCAACAGGCAGUAGAGCUAGAGACUGUUCCAGGCUGUUCUCCCACAUGUCUUUCCCCAUCUAAUAGAUCUUAGUAGCAGAAUAACAGAGUUGGAAGGGACUCUGGAGGACUUCUAGUCCAACUGCUCACUCAAGCAGGAAACCCUAUACCAGUGAUGGCUAAUUUUUUUGUCAUUGCGCGCCAGGAGCUGGUGGUGGUGGUGUUGUGCGCAUGCGUGCCCACACCCAUAAUUCUAUGCGUCCCACCCCUGCGCAUGCGCAUGUGACCCCCCCCUACUCCCUCCAUUCCUGGCACGCAAUGGCCCGGUAGGCCCGUUUUUCUCUCUCACCAGGCUCCAGAGCCUUUCUAGGAGUCUGGGGAGGGGGAAAACGGCCUUCCCCACCCCACCCUCGGAGGCCCUCUGGAGGCCAAAUACGGGGGGGGAGCCCAUUUUCACCCUUCCCAGAUUCCUAGAGAGGCUCUGAAGCCUGGUGAGAGAGAAAAACGGCUCUUCCUCAUCCCUACCCCGAGGGCCUCCGGAGGCAGGAAACAGCCUGUUUCCCUACUUCUGGUGGGCCCAGAAGGUCUGAAAAUUAGCUGGCCAGUGUACACAUGCACGCUGGAGCUGAGCUCAUGUGCCCACCAAUAUGGCACGCAUGCCAUAGGUUUGCCAACACUGCCCUAUAACAUUUCAGACACAUGAUUGUCCAAUCUCUUCUUCCCCCAGUGAUACAGCACCCAAAACUUCUGGAAGUAAGUUGUUCCACUGAUUAAUAUUUCUAACUGUCGGGAACUUUCUCCUUAGUUCUAGAUUAAUUCUCCCCUUGAUUGGUUUCCAUCCAUUGCUUCUCAUCCUGCCUUCAGGUUCUUUGGAGAAUACGUGCCCCCUCCUGCUAUCAUGUCACCCCUGGUCUUUCUUUUUACCAGACUAACCAUAACCAAUUCCUGCAAUCCUUCUUCAUAUGUUUGAGCCUCCAGUCCCCUAAUCAUCUUUGUUGCUCUUCCUCACACUCUUUCCAGAGUCUGAGGCCCCAAAUUGAUGAAGGCGGAAGAGACAAUCCAGAACAAGUUGGACAAGUGAUCUCAAUCAAUAUGAGACAGAUGCUUUGUUAGCAUGCCUUAUUUGAACCUCCAUUGGGAGAGGUCUGCAACUUGUUGCAAAGGAAGCCCCCAAUUUAAGAGCUCUGGUACACCAUUGCUAUCAAAGAUUGGUUAUGAGAUUCCUGAGUCACCAGACUGGAUCUUAGCAGAAGCAACAGCAAAAUGUACUGAUGAUGCAACGUUGUUUCGUAAUGCAAGAAAACAACCAAGCUCAGAGAACACCAAGGACCCUCCAGUUCAACCCUGAGCUACAAAUACUCUCUUCUUUUAGCAAAAUGCAGGAUUAAGUGGUCUGAUCAGAAAGGAAUUCCUUAUUUUUUUCAAUAGACUGACUCUAUGUUUUAAUAAAUGCAUCUGAGCUUUGAAUAAAUUAUUGAACAUACAGAAUUCUCUAUGCUUUGGUUAGUUCUGAUGCGUAGCUGUAAGGUACCAGUGCUAUUUUAAAGCUUGCUAGUGAUUAAACUAUUGAAACAGAUACAGUAUUAUGAGCUAGAUCUUACACAAGUAAAAAAAUAAAUGCCAACGCCCAUUUAAAAACACAAAAACACAUACCCAAACUAGACAAACUGGCUGUUAAACUACCUAUCUCGUUCCACAUAUUCAUUAAAAAUUCUGCCUUUAUCAUGAUUGGCAUAAAGAUCAAAGUUUUUAAUAUAUUUUUUUUAAAAAAACACCCCAUAAAUAAUAAAAUAAGACACAGGGUAAAAAUAUCUGUAGAAGUAAGUAACGCAGGUGAUAAUUUUAGAUUUAGAUAAAAAUGCCUUGAGUAGAUUUUUUUCCCCCUAAAAAAAUAAAAUAAAAAGGAAUGCAAAUUCAUAAGAGGUGAUGACAGAAUUGGCUCUGAAGCGGUUCUUUAUUUGAAGAGAUUGCAGAGUAGGUUAAUAUAUGCAGUUGGCUCAGUCGGUACACUAUAAAAAUUUGACUGAAUCAUUACACAGUAUGAGUAAAUAACAGAUAAUACUGAAGAUGGGAAAAGAGAUGCUAAAUGCAUGCGCAAAAGUUAUCAAGGCUUUAAGCAAACGUUUCGCAACGCAGAGACUCUAAUCUAUUAUCAUUUCAGAUAAUGGAUCUCAGUCCGCCUCUGAAAAAUUCUGCUCGAUCCCGGAGGGUUAUAUUGCUUCAGUCUCUUUUCAUCCAGUAAUAAAUAUUCAGAGUGAUUGCAUGGUCAGGACCACAAGAUAGCUAUGUAUAUUCAUGCAGCGUGUAGGUGGUUUGAAGCCAGGCCAAGUUGUACCAAGAGGGUUGUACAUGAAAGAGCCUGAACAUGGCAAAACAUGUCUAAGGCUGUUGAGUCGGUCUGGGAAAUCUGGUGGUGGUUUGCAAGCAGGAGCAAAACAGGUAAAACCAUCCUGGGAGAACCCAGAGUGAAAUCGAUUUGCUAUGCAUGCCACUGGCUUGAAGGUUUUCCCAUUGGUACGAUUACACUUUUGAAGUAAAUACGCAAAAAAAAAAAAAAGAAAAAAAGAAAAAAAAGAUUUGCAUUGUGCCUGACUAAUUUCUAGUCUGGCCAAAUGCUGCACCAGAAAUGGUUUUUUCCAGAAGAGCUUCUCUGCUAGAAAGAGCAGAAAGCGGUUUCUUCAGCCUCGUGAGAGUCUUCGGCGUCAACCCGCCCAGCUCUUCUCCUUCAUUUGGCUGAAAACUGAAGACGAUUGACGUUCUCCAUAACAAGCCAGCUUGCAAUAACCUGGCUGGGUUCAGACUCAUCUUUUUCUUGAGCUAACUUUGGCUAGUGAACAGUGGAGGUGACACAAUUUGUCUUUGGAGGCUGCAGAGGAGAAGAAGGAAAUGUUCAAAGGAUCCUUCACUCAACUAAAAGCAUACCAGGAGUUCAAAGCAACUUAUUCCAGCUCUUGGUUACUUUUCAGGCGUGUUCCUAGAAUAUGCUUUGUGCCUGAUAUUUUGGAAAGGAUGAAAAGAGCAGCAAGUCACAGAAUGAAGAAUUCAAGACACAAACACAUUAUUUAUUCGGUGUUUUUAUAGGGAUCAUUUUAUGUUAUGAGAUGGACUGUUUUGUAACAACAUUCUUUAAUAAAGUCUAUGAUAAUAAAAACCUGUACAAAUAUUAUGACUCCUGUAGAUCAAUUUGUUGCAGGUUUACUCCUAAGAGAGGCUCGUCAGCCUCAAAGGAGCUUCUAGUUUGGGAAUAUGGCUAGGAUUGCAGUUUAAUUUUAGGAUUGGGGGGGUGUCUUUUUUUAUCGCCCUCAUUCUGCCCAGAGUGGUAUCAAAGUUAAAACUUUGUGAACUCAAGGGGGAAAUUCAAGAUGAAGUGUUUUACUCACCAUCAAUCCAACAUUUGUGACUUUUUGAAAAUCUUGGUGGCUAUGUAGGUUUAAUCGUCGGGCUGGCAGCUCAAACACAACUUUCAAAGUGUUUCCUAGUUUGAAAAGAGCCUGGCCAGUUUGAUGUCUUCUUCUCGAAGAAAUGUCUAAAGCAGAUCUAAGAUGUGAGAAUGAAUGAGAAGGGGCCUCAUCUGAAAUACUGUGUGCUCUUGGAAAUGAUCAAAUGGGAUCCUAUUUUCUGCACUGGGGUCGGAUGCGAUCAGGAGAAAGGAUUUGAGGGAUGGGCGGAGUGCAUUGUUAUGUCCACAGAACCACAUUCUACCCCAUGGAUAAGAUGGUCCUCUUAAGAUGGAGGGGAGGCACCUUCCUUUAGCUUUGCCAGGACCAGUUGGGUGCAAAUUGGAUCGUGCCUGAUUCCAGUUGCAUGAUACUUUGCUGUGAAAUCCCCUUCCUUCCUUCCUUCCUUCUUCCUUCCUUCCUUCCUUCCUUCCUUCCUAUCACUAAGUGACUAAAUGGCUAUCAUUAAGUGUUUUAUCUUAUGAUUUAUGAUGAAUGUAUUUUUAUGAUGACUAUGAUCAUGAU